rnacentral:rRNA from 1 species
GACGUAGGGCGCGAGCGUUGUCCGGAUUUAUUGGGCGUAAAGAGCUCGUAGGCGGCUUGUUGCGUCGACCGUGAAAACCCGGGGCUCAACUUCGGGCUUGCGGUCGAUACGGGCGGGCUAGAGUUCGGUAGGGGAGACUGGAAUUCCUGGUGUAGCGGUGAAAUGCGCAGAUAUCGGGAGGAACACCGGUGGCGAAGGCGGUUCUCUGGGCCUGUACUGACGCUGAGGAGCGAAAGCGUGGGGAGCGAACAGG